rnacentral:misc_RNA from 1 species
GAUAUAGUAUGGCCUGGCUUCUUUUCUUCUUUGCUAAAGCAACAAGGAUUUCUCCUGAACUGCUUAAGUCCAUCUCGACCAAACCCAAAGCCAUCCCUGUAAAUCAUGGAUGCCUCUACAUUAUCAAUAAUAUCACAAGUAAUGUCACCGGCUUCACCAUCCGACUCCCAAAUGCAAAUUCUGGGAAAAUUUCUUUCUGUCAUACUUCCCCUUGAUCCAUCCACGGAUGACCUCUUCUUCCCCAUAUUCAUCACUAGCAACCCACAAUCUUCAUCAGCCAUUAAAGGUGCAGCUAACUUGUGACCAAAAAAUCCCCCCAAAACAUCUUCUUUAGCACUGAAAUCAACACUUUCUUUCUUAACAGAGCCGUGGCUGUUAGUUCUACUGUUUGCUGGAUAAAAAGUACCAUUAAGAAUUUGGUUUUGAUGUUGCUGAUUCUUAGCAUCUUUACUCCAACACCCAAUAUAACAACUCCCAUCAGGCCAAGUGAAAACUCCAUGACCUUUAGGACCACCAGCUUCCCAAUUUCCAUCAUAUCUAUUUCCAUUUGCCCAAAUCAAAACACCUCUACCAUGAAUAUCCCCAGUUUUCCAUUCACCAACAUACUCGUUUCCAUUCUUCCAAACAUAUCUACCUUGUCCAUCUUGUAAAUUCCUUUUCCAUAGCCCUUCAU